GACGAACGCUGGCGGCGUGCUUAACACAUGCAAGUCGAGCGAGCUGCCAACGGGUGAGUAACGCGUAGUAACCUGCCCCCCUCUCUGGGAUAACAGUUGGCAACGGCUGCUAAUACCGGAUAGUGUGCGAUGGACUCGCGGCCUAUCAGCUUGUAGGGGGGGUAGUGUCCUACCAAGGCGACGACGGGUAGCCGGCCUGAGAGGAUGAUCAGUCACACUGGAACUGAGACACGGUCCAGACUCCUACGGGAGGCAGCAGUGGGGAAUAUUGGACAAUGGGCGAAAGCCUGAUGCAGCCAUGCCGCGUGUGUGAAGAAGGUCUUCGGAUUGUAAAGCACUUUAAGUUGGGAGGCGUUACCAGCAGAAGAAGCACCGGCUAACUUCGUGCCAGCAGCCGCGGUAAUAC
rnacentral:rRNA from 1 species